UAUUAAUGGCUAUAUUAUUUAAAUAGAUUGUUCUGAUUUUAUGGACAUUUCUGAGCCUGUGAUUAUAUAGCCGUUAAGUAGAAGCUGAAUUAACAUGCUGCUGCUACUAUGAUCAUGUUCAGAAAGAUUAUUGGAUGAAGUAUUAGUCUAAGAUUGAGAAGUAAAUAUUUUAAAAUUUGCUGCUGAUUUAUAGCUAUGUUAGAUCAUAUCCCUUAGUCACACAUAAGACCAGCACAUGAAAUAUAAACUCUGCUGCACUGUGAUCCAUUCAGUACCUUGUCUGUGCUUGACUCUUUCCAUUCUGUCACCGUUUAUGUACAUUUCCUCUCACCAUCCUCCUACAAUAGUCCUGUAACUAAUCUCCAGUGUCUCCAGGUCCCGAUUCAUCGAGCUACCAGGUUAAGUUAAGUUUUAAUUAGUUUACUCCCCUGC
rnacentral:lncRNA from 1 species